ACUGGAAUAGUUCAGUUGGUUAGAGCGUGUGGCUCUUAACCACAAGGCCAACUUGUUUGCUUGGCCUAUUCCGGCU
rnacentral:tRNA from 1 species